rnacentral:rRNA from 1 species
CCUUGAGCCGUGGCUUUUGGAGCUAACGCGUUAAGUAGGACCGCCUGGGGAGUACGGUCGCAAGAUUAAAACUCAAAUGAAUUGACGGGGGCCCCGCACAAGCGGUGGAGCAUGUGGUUUAAUUCGAUGCAACGCGAAGAACCUUUACCUACUCUUGACAUCCAGAGAACUUUCCAGAGAUGGAUUGGUGCCUUCGGGAACUCUGAGACAGGGUGCUGCAUGGCUGUCGUCAGCUCGUGUUGUGAAAUGUUGGGUUAAGUCCCGCAACGAGCGCAACCCUUAUCCUUGUUUGCCAGCACGUAAUGGUGGGAACUCCAGGGAGACUGCCGGUGAUAAACCGGAGGAAGGUGGGGACGACGUCAAGUCAUCAUGGCCCUUACGAGUAGGGCUACACACGUGCUACAAUGGCGUAUACAGAGGGCUGCCAACCAGCGAUGGUGAGCGAAUCCCAGAAAGUACGUCGUAGUCCGGAUUGGAGUCUGCAACUCGACUCCAUGAAGUCGGAAUCGCUAGUAAUCGUGAAUCAGAAUGUCACGGUGAAUACGUUCCCGGGCCUUGUACACACCGCCCGUCACACCAUGGGAGUGGGCUGCACCAGAAGUAGAUAGCUUAACCUUCGGGAGGGCGUUUACCACGGUGUGGUUCAUGACUGGGGUGAAGUCGUAACAAGGUAACCAAGGG